rnacentral:rRNA from 1 species
AUUGAACGCUGGCGGCAUGCCCUACACAUGCAAGUCGAACGGCAGCGCGGGAGCAAUCCUGGCGGCGAGUGGCGAACGGGUGAGUAAUACAUCGGAACGUGCCCAAUCGUGGGGGAUAACGCAGCGAAAGCUGUGCUAAUACCGCAUACGAUCUACGGAUGAAAGCAGGGGAUCGCAAGACCUUGCGCGAAUGUAGCGGCCGAUGGCAGAUUAGGUAGUUGGUGAGGUAAAGGCUCACCAAGCCUUCGAUCUGUAGCUGGUCUGAGAGGACGACCAGCCACACUGGGACUGAGACACGGCCCAGACUCCUAAGGGAGGCAGCAGUGGGGAAUUUUGGACAAUGGGCGAAAGCCUGAUCCAGCCAUGCCGUGUGCAGGAUGAAGGCCUUCGGGUUGUAAACUGCUUUUGUACGGAACGAAACGGUCUUUUCUAAUAAAGAAGGCUAAUGACGGUACCGUAAGAAUAAGCACCGGCUAACUACGUG